CCAACACCUCACCUCGCCUCGCCUCCCCUGCCCACGGUCCGCCCGCCCCGCCCCUGCCUCUGUAUCCAUCCACGUCUGCUUCCAUGCCCUCGCCCCGGCGCCCCUCCUCCUUCCCGGUCCCGCACGCGAUGCCCCACCGUGACAGCCGCCGCCCCAUCCACGGCCUCGCCCUCCUUCCUCCACCGUCCCGCUCGCACGAAUCUCGUUCGCAGCGACGCUAUCGCGGGCCUGUGGUGCAAGGAGACCGCCACGCUCACUGUCGGGGCUUCCGCGCUCUCCUCCUGGCAUGGUGGUGGUACUCGUCUAAUGGGGCUUGCACCAUCAGGGCCUCCGCGCUCUCCUCCCGGUGAUGCCAUAUGCCGUCGUUAAGGGCAAGUUUUCUGUAUUCCAGUUGCUCCGACUGAGAAGAAAGAGUAGAUGUAUAUCAUUUAUGUAUGCUGGGAAAAUACAUUGUUCUGGUCGCCGUGAAAUUUCCGCAGUGGAGAGUGUGUGUAUGCGUCAUGGUGAUGAGGUAGAGUUGGAUGGCAUAUGUGCAUUUCUGUUCUUAGUUGAGACGAGUUACUUGCAUGCGGUGGGUGUUUGACGGAAUGCUUCACUAGCAUCCUGUAGAAACGCGCACAUGCGUGUACCUAGACAUCACCUUAUGGGAUUUCUUUGUUAUCUUGCUCACGUGGUAGAUGGGAUUUGCUCCUCUAAGUGACCAUAACACAAGAGAUCUCGAUGCCCAAAUCAUUUCCUGGUCCUUUGCUUUCUAUUUGCGGUUCUUACAGGAAACAUAAUCCUGCUUAUAUAUCAAUUCGUUCCAACUAGACAUGUUAGUUUGUUGGGGCUAAUUAAUUGGUUCCCGGUGCAAAUUCGGUGGGUUAGAUGAGUCAACAACAUGUUUGCUUCAUGGGGUGGAUUGGGCUGUAUUGGAUGGGUCACAUGGGUUGAGUUUACUUCAUCUGGCCACCAUUGAUAAACAUACAUGCCACUAAGUUCAGGAAAGGCUUAGGUGCCCAUAGAUGAUACAAGCACAUUGUUGCAGGGUGCUCACGAAACCGCCUUUGAGAAGUGUCGGGAUCCUGGAACAUCUAAGAUUUCUACAUGAACCUUUAUGCAAGUAAUUUAAUUUUACUCCUUUUCAUGGCUGAAAUGAUUUCUGCCUGGACACUAUACGCUAUGCCAGGAUUGUUGUUUGCAUAGUCACACUUUGAUUUUAUUGUUUGUUUAUACAGCACGGCUGGAAAUAACUGUCUUUUUUUCGGGGUGGCACUCACAUAUGUUUCCUUUUCCUCAGCUCAGCCACAACAAGGCAUUGCAAAGAGCCAUCACAUAGCUACACUUCUUUGGUGUAAUUAUUGGUACAAUAGCUUUUUUGCUGCUGUAGUUGGUACACUUCUUUGGUGGCAUCACAGACAAAACCAGCAUAUCUUUUUUGGUGUUAAUGGGCAUAUCUGGUACAUUGGACAGAGAAGACAAUUCAUGUUCAAGCGAGUGUUGAGUCUGCCUGGACGCCUAGGAAACAAGGAAUCACUGUUUCCCAUGGCGAGCUGGAGAUACCUGGACGACUAGACAUGCGUAGACAACGCCUUUGAAACACUAUACAACUGUUUUCUAUCUUCGCUCUCACUAAUAAGGAAUUAAACUUCUCCACAUAUGGUUCGAAUGAGCCAUACCUUGUAGAUUCCACUGCUGGGAUCCUGGGAUACCCAUGAACCCUUGAGUAUGCAGAAACUCCAGUAGGCCUUAUUACCUUAAUUGUGUCUAAAUAAAAUAGGUAGCGAGCUUUUAUGUUUGACAAGUGUAGGUACCAUCCUUGAGACAAUAGAAACCUCACCUUUGCUGAAGUA